AAACUUGCCACUUCGCUCCAGCUGCAACAAGGACGUUAGAACAAUAUCAGUAAGAAUGACAAACUUUGGAACUUUGUGUAGAAUAUGAGAAUCCCACUUUAAAAUGAUUAUGUUUACUAACUUCACUAUCACACUUCUUUAAUCUCAAAUAUAAUGAAUUUCAUACGCUUAAUGUAGAUUCUAUACGAAGAUUUGGCAUAAAGAUUAGCUAAGAUUGCAUUACCUUAAGUUUCAAGUAAGCAAU